AAGCGGAUCAAGAAGACAAGAUGCUUACAAUGGCGGCCUUUUCUACAUAUGACCUAACAUUCGUACAAAGUUCCAGUCAUCUUCCUAACACCUUCUAACAACAGAGAGACUCCGUUAGACGAGCGGUCGCCGUCCACGCUGCCCUCCUUCUGGCGUCGUGCGACGAAGUACAGCUUCUUGAAGAGGAAGAGGGCCAGAGCCACCCCCAGCCCCAGGAGGCCGACGAUGAAGACCCCGGCCAUGUGCUCCAACCCGAAUUCCAUCUGUUCGGACCGCGUGCUCUGGUCGUCAAGGCUAUCGCACGUGCGUCUGUCGUCCCACCACCUGAGGACAGAGACAGUAACAGGCGUGAGUUCUGUUCACUUUUCCCUUCCCGCUCAACCUCCUAAAUUUACUUCUAUAGAACAGUUUUAAGUUUUAGAGAUAUGGCUGUGUCGCUAGCCCCAAGAUUGUACGUGGAUACCUUUAAGUUUAUGAAGGUUCAGUAAAAGGGAGAGCUGAGAUUGUAGGUACAUCCGUCACAAGACCUUUCAGAUCUUGACUUUUCUCCUCCUCCUGCUUCUUCUUAUUAUUACCAUUAUUGUUAAUGUUAUAGUGGUAAUAAAAGUAUUGAUUGUU